CCUACGGGAGGCAGCAGUGAGGAAUAUUGGUCAAUGGACGCAAGUCUGAACCAGCCAUGCCGCGUGCAGGACGACGGCUCUAUGAGUUGUAAACUGCUUUUGUACGAGGGUAAACCCCGAUACGUGUAUCGGGUUGAAAGUAUCGUACGAAUAAGGAUCGGCUAACUCCGUGGCAGCAGCCGCGGUAAUACGGAGGUUCCGAGCGUUAGCCGGAUUUAUUGGGGUUAAAGGGUGCGUAGGCUGUUUGAUAAGUUAGAGGUGAAAUGUCGGGGCUAAACCCCGAAACUGCCUCUAAUACUUUUGGACUAGUGCAUAGUUGCGGUAGGCGGAAUGUAUGGUGUAGCGCUGAAAUGCUU
rnacentral:rRNA from 1 species